UUGUUUCACUGUUUAGUUUGAAAGUUUUAAAUGUGAUUUCAAGUUUAAAACUUUGAAAUAUUGAAAUAAGAUCACUGUUGAUCUAUUGCAGCAUAUUCAUAAUUUGUACGGGCUUAGUAGAAAGUUCACGACGGAAAUGUCGAACGUCGGACAAUUUAGAAGACAAUUGUUUUUUGCUGCAAGACUGUGAGCCAUUGUAUAAUUUACUUCGACAAAAGUUAGCGUCAAAAUCAUGUACCAAAAAGGACUUUACAUAUUACAAGCAAUACUUAUGCGGACCACUUCGUAAUCGAAAUCCACCUGUAUGUUGUCCACCGGUUCUUGAAAAGCCUGACUAUACAGAGGAAGACAAUCAAAUAGUAACAGUGAUUGAAAACAAAAUGGUGCACAUCUCUCAAUCAAGUGGUGAUCGAACUGGUGCGAAUGUAAUGGUUACUACAAAAACACCAACAAGAACAGUUAUUGUAGGUGGUCCAGGCUGCCUCAGUGGCAUGUAAAUCAAACAGCACAUUGCUGAUGACGUCAUUGGCACAUAUCCAUGGUUAGGAGUGAUCAAAUACACCAAAAACAUCGAUAUUGUGCGGCAGCACAAUUGUUAAUCGACAUUUCGCUCUAACUGCGGGUCAUUGUAUCGUUGGACUUGACGUGAAGUUUAAACGAUGUGUGCCGACAUCAGUGCGAUUUGGUGAUCAUGGACAAUACAAUCCCGAAUGUUCCUUCGUAAUGAUCGCAGAAACAAAAUGUUGUACACUUACCUGCACGUUUACUUAAUUGAAACCAUAAAUUUUGAAAGAAAAAAAUGAUGUGGCAAAAUUAUGAGUACGCAGCCAAGUUAUCAAUCUUUUCUCAC